rnacentral:rRNA from 1 species
GAAGGUGUGCUGUGAGGCAUGCUGGAGGUAUCAGAAGUGCGAAUGCUGACAUAAGUAACGAUAAAGCGGGUGAAAAGCCCGCUCGCCGGAAGACCAAGGGUUCCUGUCCAACGUUAAUCGGGGCAGGGUGAGUCGACCCCUAAGGCGAGGCCGAAAGGCGUAGUCGAUGGGAAACAGGUUAAUAUUCCUGUACUUGGUGUUACUGCGAAGGGGGGACGGAGAAGGCUAUGUUGGCCGGGCGACGGUUGUCCCGGUUUAAGCGUGUAGGCUGGUUUUCCAGGCAAAUCCGGAAAAUCAAGGCUGAGGCGUGAUGACGAGGCACUACGGUGCUGAAGCAACAAAUGCCCUGCUUCCAGGAAAAGCCUCUAAGCAUCAGGUAACAUCAAAUCGUACCCCAAACCGACACAGGUGGUCAGGUAGAGAAUACCAAGGCGCUUGAGAGAACUCGGGUGAAGGAACUAGGCAAAAUGGUGCCGUAACUUCGGGAGAAGGCACGCUGAUAUGUAGGUGAAGCGACUUGCUCGUGGAGCUGAAAUCAGUCGAAGAUACCAGCUGGCUGCAACUGUUUAUUAAAAACACAGCACUGUGCAAACACGAAAGUGGACGUAUACGGUGUGACGCCUGCCCGGUGCCGGAAGGUUAAUUGAUGGGGUUAGCGGUAACGCGAAGCUCUUGAUCGAAGCCCCGGUAAACGGCGGCCGUAACUAUAACGGUCCUAAGGUAGCGAAAUUCCUUGUCGGGUAAGUUCCGACCUGCACGAAUGGCGUAAUGAUGGCCAGGCUGUCUCCACCCGAGACUCAGUGAAAUUGAACUCGCUGUGAAGAUGCAGUGUACCCGCGGCAAGACGGAAAGACCCCGUGAACCUUUACUAUAGCUUGACACUGAACAUUGAGCCUUGAUGUGUAGGAUAGGUGGGAGGCUUUGAAGUGUGGACGCCAGUCUGCAUGGAGCCGACCUUGAAAUACCACCCUUUAAUGUUUGAUGUUCUAACGUUGGCCCCUGAUCGGGGUUGCGGACAGUGUCUGGUGGGUAGUUUGACUGGGGCGGUCUCCUCCUAAAGAGUAACGGAGGAGCACGAAGGUUGGCUAAUCCUGGUCGGACAUCAGGAGGUUAGUGCAAUGGCAUAAGCCAGCUUGACUGCGAGCGUGACGGCGCGAGCAGGUGCGAAAGCAGGUCAUAGUGAUCCGGUGGUUCUGAAUGGAAGGGCCAUCGCUCAACGGAUAAAAGGUACUCCGGGGAUAACAGGCUGAUACCGCCCAAGAGUUCAUAUCGACGGCGGUGUUUGGCACCUCGAUGUCGGCUCAUCACAUCCUGGGGCUGAAGUAGGUCCCAAGGGUAUGGCUGUUCGCCAUUUAAAGUGGUACGCGAGCUGGGUUUAGAACGUCGUGAGACAGUUCGGUCCCUAUCUGCCGUGGGCGCUGGAGAACUGAGGGGGGCUGCUCCUAGUACGAGAGGACCGGAGUGGACGCAUCACUGGUGUUCGGGUUGUCAUGCCAAUGGCACUGCCCGGUAGCUAAAUGCGGAAGAGAUAAGUGCUGAAAGCAUCUAAGCACGAAACUUGCCCCGAGAUGAGUUCUCCCUGACUCCUUGAGAGUCCUGAAGGAACGUUGAAGACGACGACGUUGAUAGGCCGGGUGUGUAAGCGCAGCGAUGCGUUGAGCUAACCGGUACUAAUGAACCGUGAG